rnacentral:lncRNA from 1 species
UGAAAUGUUGUCUUUGUUUUGGUUCUGUGUUUUUUAUGAAGAAGUGUUAGAUUUUAUCAAAUGCUUUUUCUGCACUAUUGAUACACUCAUAUGACAAUUCUUUUGCCUGUUGAUGUCAUGGAUUGUUGGGAGCAAUGCUACAUAAUUCUAGGGAUAAAUCAUUUGGUUAGCCUAGUUCUCUUGCCUACAGCCCAGCUACAGAAUAACUCCAGUUUGGCCUCCGGUCACAACUGAGACUUCAGUGAUUCAGUGAUGCUAUGAUUCUCCAGGACAAGAAACAUCCUGGGAGAACAAACAUCUGCUCAGUUCCUCAUUGUUCUUUGACUGAUUAACAUCUUGUUUGCCGGAGAUGUACUGAACUCUCUGCAAGCCUUCCGUUACACCUUGUUUAUCCCAAUGUGAACUAUUGAACUCUCUGCAAGUCAUUUGUUACAUUUGUUUCUCCCGAUGUACUGAAUAAAAGGUGUGGUAAGCUGGGGGCUUUUGUCUUUGCUGCGCAGAGCAGCACUGAUCAGACCCAAAGCUCAGCUUCUUCUCAGUCUCAUUUUUCUACCUUUCCUGUAAUUCGCCGUGUGCUGCCGUGGCUCGCAGGAGACCAGGACUCACUGCAGAGGUUCUGGGUCUCACUAUGUAGUUUAGGCUGGCCUUGAACUCACCAAGUAGUCCUCCUGCCUCAGCCUCCUGAGUUCUGGAAAGCAUUUUUCAGCAGUAACUCCCCAAGACAAGAAGUCCCAGUCAUACGCUUGGAGCUGCUGCCCUAGCCUGAGCAGUACCGAGUGGAUGGACCUGUGGGAGAGAUGCCCAGAAGCCAGCAGAACCAGCUCCUGGGACCUGGGUGUCGCUUUGAGAGAGAAAGCCCAUGCAAGGACACAGAAAGUGGCCACCUAUCAGCAAUCAAGAGAGACCUGUCCAGAAAACAAACCUGGAAUCAUCUUGAUCUUGGACUUCUAGCAUCCAGAACUGUCACAAAAUAAAUAUCUAAGCUUUAAACCACUGCAUUUGUCGCAUUUUGCUGGAAGAAUAACCCAACACACAGCCAUCUACCAGGACGAUUGUAGUAGUUACAUCUCCAGGGAAAACACUACCAUAGACAUCAUGUAGGAAUUUCCAAGAUAGAAUUUCCUGAAUGGCUCAGGAAGGCUUCUGAGAGGGAGGAACAAUGGAACUGAGUCUGAAUGGUGAGAAGAAACUAGUCAAAGAGAAAGCCACGCUCAGUGGAGAAUUAAAGUAUUCUAGGAAAUGGACUCUAGAUGCCCAGUGCAGAGGCAGACAGAACAGUGCGGGUUAUAGGUAGGGUCAUAGGCCGAGGGGUGGGAGGCGGAGCUGAGGAUCGGGCUCUGGACCUGCCAGGGGUCCUAAGGGGGCUUCACACUCCUUGCCAAAGAUUCUCUGUUUCAGAAGGAUAAUUUUGUAAUUGUUGUGGACAUGUUCUUUGAAAUCCAUUUUAUUUCUAACACUACCAUUUAAUAUUUGGUUUUAUUGGCCACGUUCAUUGAUUACUCUUUGUUGUUGUUUGGUUUUUUUGAGAAAGGGUUUACUGUGCUAUCCAGGCUGGCUCUGAACUUGAGAUUCUCCUGCCUCGGCUUCCCAAGUAGCUGGAACUACAGAUGUAUACAACUGCACCAGGCCCU